GUAUGUACACACAAAAUCCACUGCACAACAUGACUCCACAUAAGUAUUUACUUUGUCCUGCUUUAUCUACGUGAUCUGCUUCAAAUCUGCACGUCUUGUUCUCCCGGUACUUCCUCCUUUCUUUCCUGCUGGAUACCUGCAAAAUAAUGAUUUGAUUAGAGAACUUGUAGUAGUGAAAAAUAGUGUGCAUGUGAGAUAUAUUGCCUAAAGACUUGCAUUAUUCUACCUAGUUGUUGCAGAGUUGCAUAUCUGAAAAAUCGGAAGAAUUGCCAAGAUAAAUACACUGAGUUUGCUAUGUUCUUAACACAUUAUUACCUGGAUAAAUGCACCGAGUUGCCUACUGGAAAAGUACUGAAAUGCCUCUAGCAAUUGAUAUAAUUAUCUAUAGGAAAGUACUGAAAAUACUUCACUAUUUGACAAAAAUGCCUAUUGCAAAGUAUUGAAAUGCUUGUGACGAUGUGAAAAAGAUCAAUUUGGCCUUAGCCUUGCAAUAUGCCUUUCCCAUCGAAUUCAUUUUAGCCUCUGCAGUGUUGCUCUGCCUUCGUGCGUUAGCCGUGCGCUACUUCUGCCUGCCGGCCAGCGGACGCCGCACGGGCGCACCUGCUGGCAGCACAGCACCCCAGUGGUGCUCUGCCCUGCU
rnacentral:lncRNA from 1 species